rnacentral:lncRNA from 1 species
GUUAAGUCCUGUGAGAUCCUGUCUCCUUUGCCAUGCCACUGCAAGGUCAUAAAGUAGAUAAACUUAAGUUACAAUUCCGGUUCUCCUCAAGAUCUGAGACAUGUUAAUUGUCUUUGUUUCUUGCUCUGGCAAGAACCUUUGGAGUUACAUUUUGGCGAGCCAGCCAGGAGGAUCUCCAGGAAAGGCAUCUCGAUCCUCACAUGGAUCGAGGCCAUCAAGGUACAAAUGGUCUUACAAAUGGAACCUCAAAUGAGCUCAACUCACGGCAUCUACCAAGGACCCCUGGAUCGACAUACUGGUCUCUGACUAGCCUAAAAAGUUCCCCUCUGGAAGACACCACAACUGCAGGGCCCCUUCUUCGCCCCUCAUCAGCAGAAAGUAGCCAGAACGACUGCCGUCCAGUUCCCAACAGCAGUUGGGGUGUCCUGUCUAGAGGGGAGACUGAGAGGAGGUUCCAGCUGGGCUUCCUGGGUCAAGUAGGGGCUCAGAAAGCUGUGAAACUCACUCCUUUCCUGCAUCAGGACUUACUUUGGUCCUGGAUGAAUAAUAUUGAAGAUAUAUGCUUAAAAUAUUCCUAACAUCAGAAUUUGUGUGUGUGUUUUCUUCCCAAGAAAGCUAUUAACAGUGAAAAUUUUGUUGUAAACUUCCCUGUGUCCUCGCUCCCUCUCUCCCUUCCGCCCUCCAAAACUAAAAGGAAUGUUAAAAACCAGUUUUUCUGUGAUCAGCAGACCUUACCUAUGCUCCCAAUUCCAAUUCCUUGUAAACACAAUUUGUAAAAUCCUGUAAGAUCCUGUCUCCCUUGCCAUGCCGCUGCAAGGUCAUAAAGUAGAUAUACCAAUAUCUCACCUUCCAAAGGUUACUGCUAUUGUUGUAUUGGGGAUUAAGUUUCAACAUGAAUUUUGAAGGGGACACCAUUAUUUUCAAACCAGAGCAAGGGGUUCAAACCUAAAGGCCAGAGGACCAGUAUGGAGGUCAUGGAGAGAGAAUGGUGAUGAGGAUAGAUGAGAAAUAGUGGCUAUAAUGAGAUAUUGGUAUAUCAAGACAUAUUUAGGUUGUAGGAUUUGGUCACUGCUUUGAUGUGAGUUGCGGCAGAGAAAGAGGAGUUAAGAAUGUAGACCAAGUACGUGGCUUGGGCAACUGAAUGAUGAUGGUAUUAUUUUCAGAGACAGGAAACACAGAAGAGAAGCAAGUUUGGGAGGAUGGGAUAGUGGGUUCAGGAGAAGAUAAUAAAUUCAGUGUUGUAAAGCUAAAAUUGAGGUGAAAUUGGAUGUCCAAUUUUAGAAAUUCAGUAGCAGGAGAUUGGGUCUAGGGCAUGGUGCUCAGGAGAUAUUUUUUCUGGAAUAUAUAUUUCAGUAAAUAUUUGGGUAUAUAUUUGAAAUAAAAUUGAAUCAGGAGUUUGUGUGAAAUGAGAAGAGGGUAUUAAGGAACAUGGACAUUUAAAGAAUGGGCAGAGAUAAAGGAGACAAUAAAGGAGGCUGAGAAAAAGUGGG